rnacentral:lncRNA from 1 species
GAUGACAGAUCGACUAGCUGAGGCACUUUUUUUUAAAAAUUUUGGUUUUGUAGUUAGUGUAAUUAAUUUGCCUCCUCUUUCGGCUGCAAUUUAUUCUUGCUGCUUUGUUCUAGAGGCAUAAAUAGGUUCAUUGCGAGGGUGUUAUUCUUCCUUGAUUUUGUUUCUUAAUAAUAAUCAUGGCUAAGCCUUCCUCUGGCAUAUUUUUUGUUUUAACUAAUGGAAUGAAUUAUUUGGCAUUUACUAUCCGCAUCAGUGAAAGGCUA